rnacentral:ncRNA from 1 species
CAACGUGACACCCAGCGGUUUGAUGAACAGGCUGUUAUCGUUCAUCGUGACCUCGCCGCUCGCCCGUACCAGCUUACCGUUCAGCGGGAUGGACAGAUGCAGUGUGCUGGCCACGUUGCCGCCGACCUGCAGCUGCUGGAGCGCGGUCCCCAGCGUGGAUUUCAGCGGCGUUUGCAUGAAGUAAUCACUCACAUCUUUGCCGCUGCCGCUCAGGUCGCCGUCGAUCAGCAACAGCUCCUGCUGAUAGUUGGGGAUCGCGGCAUCAAUGUUGCGGCCUUCAACGUUGCCGAGCCGCGCCUGCGGGGCAUUCAUCCACAGCCCGUUAUUCAGGAAGUUCAGGGUAAUAUUUUCACUGUUUAGCGCGGGCCAACCGGGUUGGAAGCCGAAUUUGGCGUUUUUCAGCGGCAC